CCUAAGUUCUUUGAGAAGAGGACCAUGUUUGAGUCAUGGUGUAGAAACAGAACCCAAAUCCCUCAGCAUUCCCAUGAUUGAGAGUCUAACAGGAGACCAUCUUCAUCCUUCCAUCAAGAAAGCUAGGACUCCAAAAGCUCAAUGUAAAGCUGUGUCUAAGUAGCUCCAAAUUAUCCUGUGAAUCAUGGCUCAGAAAUAUUUAUCAGGUAAUUCUUCCUGUCUCUCCACAUAUAAAUGUAAGUAUGUUACCACUUACAUAUUUGUUGAUUUAUGAUAUACUAAUGUUACAAAAUGAUAUAGAUUCAAUGC
rnacentral:lncRNA from 12 species